GUCGAGAAUCUUCCACAAUGGGCGAAAGCCUGAUGGAGCGACGCCGCGUGAAUGAUGAAGCCCUUCGGGGCGUAAAAUUCUUUUCUUAAGGAGAAAGUCCGUUUAUGCGGACUGAUGUUACUUAAGGAAUAAGGGGCUGCUAAACUCGUGCCAGCAGCAGCGGUAAUACGAGUGCCCCAAGCGUUAUCCGGAAUUACUGGGCGUAAAGCGUGCGUAGGCGGUUUUAAUAGUGAGUGGUUAAAUUCUGAAGCUCAACUUCAGAACUGCCAUUCAAACGUUAAAACUAGAGCAGGCAAGAGGCUAAUGGAACCUACCAAGUAGGGGUGAAAUCCGUUGAUAUGGUAGGGAACACCAAAGGCGAAGGCAUUUAGCUGGUGCUUGGCUGACGCUGAGUCACGAAAGCGUGGGGAGCAAAAAGGAUUAGAAACCCGUGUAGUCC
rnacentral:rRNA from 1 species